UUGCUGUCUGCUGCAGUUGUUGUACUUACUUUCUCCCAUUCUUCUACAUGCCAGCUAUAAUGCAAACAUUCGCCUGUUUGACAGUGUUGAACCGAAACAGGUUUUGCAGAUUGACUGCAGUGAGAAUCUUCAAGACUGUGGUUUGCGAUCUGGCAGAAGACUUCUCGUUGCUGAAUUCCACUUCCACAUAAGGCUGAGCACUGCCAAAUUUGCAAAGCAGUGAGAGGCCAGGAUGCCAUCAGCUACAACUCAAAAGCACCACUCAACAGAGAAUCAAGCAUCAAUACAGCUUCCAGACAGUACUGUCAUCUCAAUCACAUCAGGAUAUGGAUAUUGAUGGGAAGAGAAAAAAAAAGACACACCAACCACUGGCACCUGGGACAAGACACAAUCUGGAGUCUCAGGGAGAGUUGCAAAGUGGUGGUAAGUUGUCUUCUUGAAACACUGCAAGUCCAUGUGCUGUUAGUAUGUUCAGCACCACUUCUGACUUCCCAGAUGCCAAAAGGUCUAUGUUCAAAUGCAGCAAGACCAGGACAAUAUCCAGGCUGAGAUUUUGUCAUCAAUACAAAGCAACAAGAUGGGCCCUGACCUUGGAAGAAAAUUGAGCUCGUUGGUUGAGUGAACUCUGCUGUAAGUUUGUAAAUGGCUCCAAGUCAAGGGAUCUUCAUGCACCCAGCAACAACAACAUCAAGCAAGGAAGCAGCCAAGCACAUUCACUUGGUCUCCCAUACAAGAAACCACAAAUUUAAAAUACAGCAAAUUUUUAUUCUUAAUUACUAUUUUUGUGAAAACAGAGUAAAAAUAAAUGAUUAGAAGAUUAGUACGGGAUUAUGGCAACAACUGAAGUACGGUAAGCAAACUUAAAAAAGAAAGAAAGAAAUUGAAUUGCUUCCAAUUACAGAAAUUUCAUAUUCCACAAUUUUAAAUUAGAUUUUCAGGUUGAUUUACAGCUGUUCAGCAAUAAUAAUGAAUUUAUUACACUCUUUAAAGACCUGGUUAAACCUCAUUUAACAAGGUCUAAGGGAUUUUACAGUUGAACUAACAGGGUAAAAGGCUACCCUUUCCCCAUUCAGUGAUUUCUUCUUAAUUGCAUUGCAUCUUCAGGAAAAGCACUGAAUCACUGCUUGUAACUUUAGGAUCUCCAAAUUUAAGCAUACAUAAGCUGAUUCCAGAUGUUGCUGCCAGCUUCGGUGAGCGAAUGAUGGUUAAUGCUAAAGAUUCACUGUUUGCACCACUAUCACAAAAACAAGGGCAUUGUUUGAGAAAAACCAAAAGAACUGCAAAUGCUGUAAAUCUGGAACAAAAAUAAAG